GAGUGUAUAGCCAAGUGGUCUAAGGCUGUGAGCCGCAACCUCACUAUUCGGGGGUUCAAAUCCCUCUACACUCUUA
rnacentral:tRNA from 1 species